AUGAUUCUACGGCAUGCCAAGUGCCAACCAAUUCAACAUGUUAUUGUUACAGAUUCAAUACGGACAUCACACUCUCUAUUCAUGUUAGUUCAUAAAUGGUGCGCACCACUGCAACGACAGAUCCUUACCCGGUGUGCCUCUGACCUUCUCUUACUCCAUCUGCUUCACGAACUCGGCGAACGCGGCACAAGACGAGCCACCUUCCUUCCACGCCGCGGCGGCGCUCUCCUUUACGGCCAUGGCCCGUUCGACGACCGCUCGCCGACCUUCCGACUCCAUGUCCAUGAUCUGCCUAACCGUGGCAUCCACAUUAUCGGCCGAGACAAGCACCCCGGGUUUGUUAUACCCUCUCACCGCCACGCCAACCUUCAUCUCCUCGACAAUGUACACCUUGUUCAUCCACUGCUCGGCUUCCAGCGGCCAGCACACCAUCGGCACGCCGGUGGCCGCCGCCUCCAGCGUCGAGUUCCAUCCGCAGUGCGUCAUGAAGGCACCAGUGGACGCGUGACGCAGCACGUCCAUCUGUGGCACCCAGGACGCGGUCACCACGAGGCCCCUGCCGGCCGUCCGGGCCAAGAACCCCUCGGGGAGGAGAGACAGCGUCGCGUCCGGCUCGCCGGCGACUGCGGCGAAGGCAGGAGGCGCGCGCAGCACCCACAGGAACCUGUACCCGGACAUCUCGAGCCCCUUGGCCAUCUCCCUGAUCUGCUCCAGCGAGGCCGUGCAGCGGCUGCCGAAGCAGAUGUACACGACGCUGCCCUCGGGCUGCGCGUCCAGCCACGGGAGGCAUGGGUGCCUCUCCUCCUCCUCGCCGCCUUCCGCGAUCAACGGGCCUACGCAGUAGACCCGCGGGGCGGCGCGGCCGCGGAGGCAGCGCCCGUCUCUAAUCGCCGCCACCGCCGAGCCCUCCAGCGCCUCGAAGGUGUUCACCAGAAUGCCGCGCGCUGUCGCCAUCCGGCCGAAUACGUCCAGCACAGCCGCGUACAGGUCCGUCCCGCUGUCGAGCACCCCGUCGACCAAGUGAGACGCCGGCAUCGUGGGCACGCCGGGGAACGACACGGGCGCGUCGCCGAGAUCUUUCAAGUCUGCGCCGCUCCCGGAGCAAAAUGA
rnacentral:rRNA from 1 species